AACGAACGCUGGCGGCAGGCUUAACACAUGCAAGUCGAGCGCCCCGCAAGGGGAGCGGCAGACGGGUGAGUAACGCGUGGGAACCUACCCUUUUCUACGGAAUAACGCAUGGAAACGUGUGCUAAUACCGUAUACGCCCUUAGGGGGAAAGAUUUAUCGGAGAAGGAUGGGCCCGCGUUGGAUUAGCUAGUUGGUGGGGUAAAGGCCUACCAAGGCGACGAUCCAUAGCUGGUCUGAGAGGAUGAUCAGCCACAUUGGGACUGAGACACGGCCCAAACUCCUACGGGAGGCAGCAGUGGGGAAUAUUGGACAAUGGGCGCAAGCCUGAUCCAGCCAUGCCGCGUGAGUGAUGAAGGCCCUAGGGUUGUAAAGCUCUUUCACCGGAGAAGAUAAUGACGGUAUCCGGAGAAGAAGCCCCGGCUAACUUCGUGCCAGCAGCCGCGGUAACAC
rnacentral:rRNA from 1 species